UUAAGCGACUAAGCGUACACGGUGGAUGCCCUGGCAGUCAGAGGCGAUGAAGGGCGUGCUAAUCUGCGAUAAGCGCCGGUAAGGUGAUAUGAACCGUUAUAACCGGCGAUACCCGAAUGGGGAAACCCAGUGUGACUCGUCACACUAUCAUUAACUGAAUCCAUAGGUUAAUGAGGCGAACCGGGGGAACUGAAACAUCUAAGUACCCCGAGGAAAAGAAAUCAACCGAGAUUCCCCCAGUAGCGGCGAGCGAACGGGGAGGAGCCCAGAGCCUGAAUCAGCAUGUGUGUUAGUGGAAGCGUCUGGAAAGGCGCGCGAUACAGGGUGACAGCCCCGUACACAAAAGCGCAUGUGCUGUGAGCUCGAUGAGUAGGGCGGGACACGUGGUAUCCUGUCUGAAUAUGGGGGGACCAUCCUCCAAGGCUAAAUACUCCUGACUGACCGAUAGUGAACCAGUACCGUGAGGGAAAGGCGAAAAGAACCCCGGCGAGGGGAGUGAAAAAGAACCUGAAACCGUGUACGUACAAGCAGUGGGAGCACAGGUUUACCUGUGUGACUGCGUACCUUUUGUAUAAUGGGUCAGCGACUUAUAUUCUGUAGCAAGGUUAACCGUAUAGGGGAGCCGUAGGGAAACCGAGUCUUAACCGGGCGUUAAGUUGCAGGGUAUAGACCCGAAACCCGGUGAUCUAGCCAUGGGCAGGUUGAAGGUUGGGUAACACUAACUGGAGGACCGAACCGACUAAUGUUGAAAAAUUAGCGGAUGACCUGUGGCUGGGGGUGAAAGGCCAAUCAAACCGGGAGAUAGCUGGUUCUCCCCGAAAGCUAUUUAGGUAGCGCCUCGUGAAUUCAUCUCCGGGGGUAGAGCACUGUUUCGGCUAGGGGGCCAUCCCGGCUUACCAACCCGAUGCAAACUGCGAAUACCGGAGAAUGUUAUCACGGGAGACACACGGCGGGUGCUAACGUCCGUCGUGAAGAGGGAAACAACCCAGACCGCCAGCUAAGGUCCCAAAGUCAUGGUUAAGUGGGAAACGAUGUGGGAAGGCCCAGACAGCCAGGAUGUUGGCUUAGAAGCAGCCAUCAUUUAAAGAAAGCGUAAUAGCUCACUGGUCGAGUCGGCCUGCGCGGAAGAUGUAACGGGGCUAAACCAUGCACCGAAGCUGCGGCAGCGAACGUAUCACUUAAAGCGAUUCAGCGGGUUACGAUUGACGGAGCGAAGCGACGUCAAAGCGUAUACAAAGUCGAGUCGGUUUAAGGAUACGUUCGUUGGGUAGGGGAGCGUUCUGUAAGCCCGUGAAGGUGGCCUGUGAGGGUUGCUGGAGGUAUCAGAAGUGCGAAUGCUGACAUAAGUAACGAUAAAGCGGGUGAAAAGCCCGCUCGCCGGAAGACCAAGGGUUCCUGUCCAACGUUAAUCGGGGCAGGGUGAGUCGACCCCUAAGGCGAGGCCGAAAGGCGUAGUCGAUGGGAAACGGGUUAAUAUUCCCGUACUUGGUGUUACUGCGAAGGGGGGACGGAGAAGGCUAUGUUGGCCGGGCGACGGUUGUCCCGGUUUAAGCGUGUAGGUGUGUGUUCCAGGUAAAUCCGGUUCACUUUAACACUGAGGCGUGACGACGAGGCACUACGGUGCUGAAGCAACAAAUGCCCUGCUUCCAGGAAAAGCCUCUAAGCAUCAGGUAACACGAAAUCGUACCCCAAACCGACACAGGUGGUCAGGUAGAGAAUACCAAGGCGCUUGAGAGAACUCGGGUGAAGGAACUAGGCAAAAUGGUGCCGUAACUUCGGGAGAAGGCACGCUGACACGUAGGUGAAGUGAUUUACUCAUGGAGCUGAAGUCAGUCGAAGAUACCAGCUGGCUGCAACUGUUUAUUAAAAACACAGCACUGUGCAAACACGAAAGUGGACGUAUACGGUGUGACGCCUGCCCGGUGCCGGAAGGUUAAUUGAUGGGGUCAGCGCAAGCGAAGCUCCUGAUCGAAGCCCCGGUAAACGGCGGCCGUAACUAUAACGGUCCUAAGGUAGCGAAAUUCCUUGUCGGGUAAGUUCCGACCUGCACGAAUGGCGUAAUGAUGGCCAGGCUGUCUCCACCCGAGACUCAGUGAAAUUGAACUCGCUGUGAAGAUGCAGUGUACCCGCGGCAAGACGGAAAGACCCCGUGAACCUUUACUAUAGCUUGACACUGAACAUUGAGCCUUGAUGUGUAGGAUAGGUGGGAGGCUUUGAAGUGUGGACGCCAGUCUGCAUGGAGCCGACCUUGAAAUACCACCCUUUAAUGUUUGAUGUUCUAACGUGGACCCGUAAUCCGGGUUGCGGACAGUGUCUGGUGGGUAGUUUGACUGGGGCGGUCUCCUCCUAAAGAGUAACGGAGGAGCACGAAGGUUGGCUAAUCCUGGUCGGACAUCAGGAGGUUAGUGCAAUGGCAUAAGCCAGCUUGACUGCGAGCGUGACGGCGCGAGCAGGUGCGAAAGCAGGUCAUAGUGAUCCGGUGGUUCUGAAUGGAAGGGCCAUCGCUCAACGGAUAAAAGGUACUCCGGGGAUAACAGGCUGAUACCGCCCAAGAGUUCAUAUCGACGGCGGUGUUUGGCACCUCGAUGUCGGCUCAUCACAUCCUGGGGCUGAAGUAGGUCCCAAGGGUAUGGCUGUUCGCCAUUUAAAGUGGUACGCGAGCUGGGUUUAGAACGUCGUGAGACAGUUCGGUCCCUAUCUGCCGUGGGCGCUGGAGAACUGAGGGGGGCUGCUCCUAGUACGAGAGGACCGGAGUGGACGCAUCACUGGUGUUCGGGUUGUCAUGCCAAUGGCACUGCCCGGUAGCUAAAUGCGGAAGAGAUAAGUGCUGAAAGCAUCUAAGCACGAAACUUGCCCCGAGAUGAGUUCUCCCUGAGACUUAGAGUCUCCUGAAGGAACGUUGAAGACGACGACGUUGAUAGGCCGGGUGUGUAAGCGCAGCGAUGCGUUGAGCUAACCGGUACUAAUGAACCGUGAGGCUUAACCUU
rnacentral:rRNA from 1 species